AUGAACGCUAGCGACAGGCUUAACACAUGCAAGUCGAGGGGCAGCACAGGUAGCAAUACCGGGUGGCGACCGGCGCACGGGUGAGUAACGCGUAUGCAACUUGCCUAUCAGAGGGGGAUAACCCGGCGAAAGUCGGACUAAUACCGCAUGAAGCAGGGAUCCCGCAUGGGAAUAUUUGCUAAAGAUUCAUCGCUGAUAGAUAGGCAUGCGUUCCAUUAGGCAGUUGGCGGGGUAACGGCCCACCAAACCGACGAUGGAUAGGGGUUCUGAGAGGAAGGUCCCCCACAUUGGUACUGAGACACGGACCAAACUCCUACGGGAGGCAGCAGUGAGGAAUAUUGGUCAAUGGCCGAGAGGCUGAACCAGCCAAGUCGCGUGAGGGAUGAAGGUUCUAUGGAUCGUAAACCUCUUUUAUAAGGGAAUAAAGUGCGGGACGUGUCCCGUUUUGUAUGUACCUUAUGAAUAAGGAUCGGCUAACUCCGUGCCAGCAGCCGCGGUAAUACGGAGGAUCCGAGCGUUAUCCGGAUUUAUUGGGUUUAAAGGGUGCGUAGGCGGCCUUUUAAGUCAGCGGUGAAAGUCCGUGGCUCAACCAUAGAAUUGCCGUUGAAACUGGGGGGCUUGAGUAUGUUUGAGGCAGGCGGAAUGCGUGGUGUAGCGGUGAAAUGCAUAGAUAUCACGCAGAACCCCGAUUGCGAAGGCAGCCUGCCAAGCCAUUACUGACGCUGAUGCACGAAAGCGUGGGGAUCAAACAGGAUUAGAUACCCUGGUAGUCCACACCGUAAACGAUGGAUACUAGGUGUAGGGGAUAUUAAAAUUCUCUGUGCCGCCGCUAACGCAAUAAGUAUCCCACCUGGGGAGUACGGCCGCAAGGUUGAAACUCAAAGGAAUUGACGGGGGCCCGCACAAGCAGUGGAGUAUGUGGUUUAAUUCGACGCAACGCGAAGAACCUUACCAGGGCUUGACAUAUAAGUGAAUAAUUAAGAGAUUAGUUAGCUCUUCGGAGCACUUAUACAGGUGGUGCAUGGUUGUCGUCAGCUCGUGUCGUGAGAUGUUGGGUUAAGUCCCGCAACGAGCGCAACCCCUAUGUUCAGUAGCCAGCAGGUAAGGCUGGGCACUCUGGACAGACUGCCGGGGAUAACCUGGAGGAAGGCGGGGAUGACGUCAAAUCAGCACGGCCCUUACAUCCGGGGCGACACACGUGUUACAAUGGCGUGGACAAAGGGAAGCCACCUGGCGACAGGGAGCGAAUCCCCAAACCACGUCUCAGUUCGGAUCGGAGUCUGCAACCCGACUCCGUGAAGCUGGAUUCGCUAGUAAUCGCGCAUCAGCCACGGCGCGGUGAAUACGUUCCCGGGCCUUGUACACACCGCCCGUCAAGCCAUGGGAGCCGGGGGUACCUGAAGUCCGUAACCGCGAGGAUCGGCCUAGGGUAAAACUGGUGACUGGGGCU
rnacentral:rRNA from 1 species